rnacentral:rRNA from 1 species
GAGUUUGAUCUUGGCUCAGAACGAACGCUGGCGGCAGGCUUAACACAUGCAAGUCGAGCGCUUAUUUUUAAUAGGAGCGGCAGACGGGUGAGUAACGCGUGGGAAUCUACCUUUUUCUACGGGAUAACGCACGGAAACGUGUGCUAAUACCGUAUACGCCCUGAGAAGGGGAAAGAUUUAUUGGAGAGAGAUGAGCCCGCGUUAGAUUAGCUAGUUGGUGGGGUAAAUGCCUACCAAGGCUACGAUCUAUAGCUGGUCUGAGAGGACGAUCAGCCACACUGGGACUGAGACACGGCCCCAGACUCCUACGGGAGGCAGCAGUGGGGAAUAUUGGACAAUGGGGGCAACCCUGAUCCAGCCAUGCCGCGUGAGUGAAGAAGGCCUUAGGGUUGUAAAGCUCUUUCGCCGGAGAAGAUAAAUGACGGUAUCCGGAGAAGAAGUCCCGGCUAACUUCGUGCCAG